UUUAAAAGCGAGAGCGAUGCCAUUGAUCAAAGCAAAUCAUGUCUGAACGGGACUUUGCUUGCCCAACACAAUGCGAGUGUUUAAUUACCUUCGCAAACUGCAGCUUGCAAAACCACCUCUUGCCGGGUAAGAGGGCUUCGGUGGCGACAGCGCAGAACGGUCCGUCUCCCCGCGGCGAGUCCUGGGGAGCCGCGGACUCCAGGAGGGAGCCGUGCUGGAGACCCAUGUCCCCGUGGUGCCCAUCUCCCCACCUUCACAGCACCUGCCUCGCUUGUCCCUGCUUCGCCGAGCGAAACUUUUGGUGACGUAUGGAAAACGUGUUAAUCGGGCCAUUGGGAGAAGAUGAGUUUGGUACGCGCUGUUCCCAUGAGGAGCGGGAGGUCGGGGGGUUGGAGCGUGCAGCUCCGCGCCGCCUCCGCGUCGGGGUGGACCGCACGCCCGUCCCCUGCUCAACGCUCAGACCCAGCCGGUGGUGAAAACCAGCGCGAGCCUCCCAGAUUUACAAGCAACGAACAGCUCAGAUGAUUUAAAGCCUCGUCGAUAAAACCCCUGCGUGGUCAGGAGCUGGCCUGGGGAGAAGGGAAGCGGGUAUCAGGGAAGGAUAAUUCACACGCUUAUUGCUUUUAAGUGAAAUAAUCCCCGCUUCUGUUGUGGUCACUGUUCCUCCUUUCCAUCCCGCCCUUUAGAGGUUUUUUUCCAGCUAAAACAUGUUCUUCUGUGUGCAAGUGUACCGGGCACUGAGCGGGAUGUCUGGAGGUGCUUGAAAAGACUGUCCUCAAAGCCUUGGAUCCCAACCCGAAAAAUCACGUUGGGAAACUUAUUGAAAUGCAAUUUUUCACUGCAUCCCUCAGUAACAGAGGGUCACAGAAAAGCUCUUUUGAGACAGUCGGCUUUGUCAUGUCAGCGUCCACUGGGGAAACUGUGACCUACACGUUUCCUACUACGGCUUUCGGCAACUGCUGUGUUUCUAAGUUAAACCUCCCAAUGAAAAUUGCGAUAUACAGCCAUGUUUCCAAGUUACAUAAUUCUGCUGUGUGCAAUUCUGCUUCCUUCCAGAUGCCCUCCAGGCUCUACUCCGCGUUAGAGGCAAAAAAAAAGCCUGCAAAAUUUCAUUCAGACGGCAGAAAUCGGCCGCGCGGCGGUGGCGGUGGCGGUUCCGCGGGAGGAGCCGCGCGCUCGUGCCGUUUCCUACUUCUGCUUCUCGUUUUAGGGAAAACUGGGAGCAGCAUUCGGUAGCGCUUUUGUGGCGUAACGCAACAGAGCAGAGGCGAAACGAGCUGCAACGGCUUCUGCAAACGCCGAGCACGCUUGUUCGGAGAAAGCAUGCACUUUGCCUCGUUUCGGAGUUAAAGCAAGAGCUCGGCUUGUCCAUAUAUAGUGCAAUAAGGGGCGGCCGGGCUCUCGUCCGGCACGGCAGCACGGGGCGGCAGCGCGGCCCGAACGCGGCGUUUCCAGUCCUCGUACAAAAAAGGAAACAGGAAAGAGCUAUGUAAACAUGUGCGAUGAGCUCGCGCCGGCAGCGGGCUGCACAUGGGCAUGCUGCCGAGCCGCCCGUGCCGCGGGCAGCGCCCGAGCCUGCUCCGUUCCCCAGGCUGCUUUUUCUAGGGGAAAAGGCCCUGGAAAGAGAAGAAGCGAAACCUUUGCAAAUCCUGCAGCCGCCCUGCGUGCGCUGCAAAUCUCGGUUGCUCCCAGCUGUUUCCCCUCAGCUCCUACCUGAUGCACUGAGCUCGGAGGGGGGAAACUCAAACAGAAAAAAAAAACCCCAAAAGUUGUUUUCUCCUUCUAAUGGAAGGAGAAAAAAGGUUGGAAACGUGAUGCAAGUGCUCCCUAACAGUCCGAUAACUCAGCCGGUCAGGAAGAAGCCACCAAAUGUGCGUCUGUGGUUACACAAAUAGACUCGCUCGCGCACACAAUGCUUUCACAGUUCCCGAUUUUGGCCGGCCCAAUUCCUGAUUUUUAUACGCUCGGGGUUGACACGACUGCAAAUUUCACAGCUCUCCGUUGUUACUGGCUCCGGCUGAAAAGCGACUGGCUGCGGAAAGGGAAAAAACUCUUAACGCCAGCGCCGAGGCCGGAGAGGGAGCUCUUCUCUUGCGGGGGAGAACAGCCCCAUCGGCAAAAGUCUUCUCCUCCAGGCGAACAUGCCCCGUCCUUUCUCCUCCUGCUUUGCACAAGCGGCCGAGAGCUGUUCUGCAACGCAGCAGGGUCGCUCAGCGCCCCGGCCGUGUUUAGCCGCGGGAGCUCGCGCUUUUAACCGUGCAUCGCACCCGCAGCUCCUCGCUUCGCUCGUCAACCGGCGGGCGCUGGCAGGGGUUCAGGUGCUCUGCGCCGAAAAUAGCCCCGGCGGAGAGGCAGAGCGCGCCGAGGCCGGGCUGCUGCCGGGGGAAACGCUCCAGCCCAGGGAUGAGCAGCUGGAUUUCCCUUUUUCUUUUUUAUUUUAAGUAUAUGCAACGGGGGCUUUUAAGGGUGUUUAGGAUAGAUGCGUGGCUGCACUAAGGAGCUCUUGCGUGGGAGACGGACGUCGCGGGGGGACAGACCCGCCUGCGGGACGGGGACCCCCCCUUUGCCGCCCAAGGAAGGAAAAGCCGAGAGGGGAAGAGCUGCUCACGAGAUUUCCUUUGCUGCUCUUUGCCUCCUCAUAGUUUUUUUUUUUUUUAAACUCUGGCCUUUUUGCUUUUUUUUUCCCUCCUCGCGCUCGCUCGUUUUUAACCCUUCGCUUUCGCUGCGGGCGCUGCUCUUUCCUUCCCAGCACGGGAUGGAUAAGCGGAGGUGCGGAGCCGCUUCUCCCCAAGGAGCAGCUGGGAUGUCGGGGGGAGCGGGGACGCACGGAGGCCGUGCCACCGCCCGCGACGGAGCGACUUGGCGGUGGGAAUUAUCUCGGCUAGAAGGGGUGGUUGUGGCUUGGCACGCGUUCAGACGCAAGCCGAGCCGUCCAUCUCGCAGCCCCUGGUGGAGCUCUGGACCUUGUGCCGGGACGUUCCCGGUGCUGAGGGUUUGCACGGCUCGAAAAACUCGUAGUAGACAGAGAAACAGAAGGAAAGUCCACCCAGGGCUGUCAAACGCGGAGGUGGCACUUCUGGCUCACAAAGUGACCGUCUUGCACAUCGCUGAAAGCUGGAAGACUCUUCUGGGGGCAUCACCAGAAGCUCGUGCUGCUCCCGAUCUCCUCCCUCCCAACGGGUCACCGUGCGGCUGGGGCCACCACGAGCACCUGAGCCAAGGGGAGGUUGGGGGGCCGCACGUGGCCUCUCUUGGUGCUUGCCCAGGGCUGGUGGCAUCUCAGUACCACUCCCUGGAGAGGCUUCCAGGAUCACGGAUGUUUCCUCCCGGGUAAAUCUCACCCUGCCCUUCCCCGCAGCCCCGGACUUGCUACCCAGCCAACUCCAGGUCCUUCGCUCUGCUUCGUUUAAAUUAAUAAUUAACCGGCUUGUCCUUUGAGCUGCCUAUAAAGAAGACCGCGUUUGCUGGCUGCAGAGAAAAUCCAUAACACCUGCGUGACCGGCGGCCCGACACCGGGGCCCGGGGACAGCCCGAGCCUCUGUUUGCUUUCCCAACACGCGGUCGCAGCCGUUGUGGCCUUUGCAACGAGCCCCGUGGCUACCUCUGCUCGUGGAGCCCUGCUCCACCGGUCUCCAUCCUACUUGCUGAUGUCUUAUUUUAGGUACAAGAAGUCUUGCUUUAGAUGUAUUAAAGCUAAAGCCAGAUA